rnacentral:lncRNA from 1 species
AGGUAACCCACCGUAAUGGUCUCCAUUUCAUCAUGAUUUGAUUCAACAAAGUAAAGUGAUAUAUGCCAUGCAAAACGGGUUUGUUAAACAUGGUCAAAGGGUUUCUUACAUGGCUCAACAAAGUCUUCCGAGUCUUUAAAUCCUUCUGGUCCAACCUCUUCAUCAGCAUCGCAAUCUAUCAUCGCAAACUAAUGAGCAAAAAUAAGGCCACGACAAAAACGCGAAAAAUACAUCACUCAAAAAAAUGUCAAACCAUUUUUGUAAAAUACUAGGGUGAAAACUAACAUUACUAAAAUUAUUAGGUUUUGGUUUUGAAGUGUCAAAAUGGUGAAAAGGUUUUUAAUAAAGAUUAAAAAUAUUCAAAAACAUGGUUUUAAAUAUAAAGAGUACAUAAAGCAUUUUCCAAAUAGUGCACAAGUGGCACCAUUGGAUAGUUUGGAAUUCUAGAAGAAUUUAGGAAGUGGAAUAAUUGGAUUUGGUUAAAUAUCCCACCCCCUUGAAUUUUUGCAACACAACCCAAAAAUAAAAAGGGAAAAGAGAUUGUGCCUUCCCGCCAUAAGUGGUCGGCCAGCCAGCGAAACGGCCUGAGCGAGCCAUGCGUGCGCGCUCUCUAGGUUUAAACCCGAUAGGCAGCCCUUGGUGCCACAGAGAGGGGGGAGCGAGAGGAGAGGAUGACAGGUAGGCCUCGCUUGUCAUCUUCAACCUCGCGGCCAAGGAGGAACACAAGCUCACCGACAGGAAUGGAGAGCAUGACAGAGGGAUCUGAGGGCAGGAACGGUCUCAUGGAGGAGUCACCAUUUGGAUAGUGGUGGGGUUGGUUGUAGGAGCACCCUCGUUUGUCAACGGAGACAAGGCAGAGGUGGAGAGCUUCAAGAGGGGGGCCUUGUAACGCCGAAGAUGUGAUCCUAUCAUUAUUUUGGCUCGAGGGCCUCGACAGGGAUAGAAGCGCAUAUCAUCGUUUUGCAAGAAUGGACAUCAUUACAAGUACAUGUACAAAAGAUAUUAGUAUAUGGAAUUGACUUACACUCGCCACAAGCUAUAGCAUGAACAUCUCAAUACAACAAUACACUCAAUCAUCAUGUAGAAAAGCAAGGUUCGACUAUGGACGAAAUCAAAUGAUAAAAUAACGACGUCCAUCCUUGCUAUUCCAAGCUACCGGCCUUGAAACCAUACUAGAUCGAUGAUGAUGAAGAAGAAGAAACUCCAAAUAGAACAAUCAUCGUGCUCACGUCAAAGUAUUGCUUUACCUGUACCUGCAACUGUUGUUGUAGUAAUUUGUGAGCCACACCGACUCAGUAAUCUCAUUUCCAAAGGUAUCAAGACUAGCAAACCUUAAUGGGUGAGGUAUGGUUAAGUGGUGAGGCUGUAGCCAACAACUACACAUUUAUUUGGGUGGCUAACUUACGAGUACAAGAAUAAGAGGGUGAGUGAUCUACGCAUAAACGAACGUGAAGUCAUAAUGAUCUUGAAGUGAUCCUCAACACCUACUUACUUUAGAGAUAACCCCACCAUGUAGUCUCUCGGAUACAGAGCUCACGAGAAUAGACAGUCACGGUUAUGCAUACAGUUGGCAUAUUUUAAAUAAGUUUACUCUAAAUUUGCUAUGACCUGGUGUUAAACAAAGUUUUCAAGUUGCCAAAUAACCGCGGGCAUGCCUCUCAGAAAGAUUUAAACCUGCAGGGGUGCUCCAACUAGUCCAUCAUAACUACCACCAGCUGCAUCAAAAACCUCGACCACAGAAAACCCGUGAUCUCCUUGGAUUCCUGGUGGAAAACCUCAACCUCGAGAUAUCCCAAAGUAUCCUUGGAAUCCCUUGCACAAGACGUUUGAGAAAACUAAAACAAAUCCAGCAAGGCCGCCCCGACAUGUCGACGAUCCCGAUAGGAGUCGUGUAUCUCUUUCUUUCGACACGACAGAUGGGAUGAGAAAGGUAAAACAAAUCCAGCAAGGCCGCCCGAUGUGUCGACGAUCCAGAUAUGAGCCGUGUAUCUCGUUCUCUUACCACGACAGGUGAGCUAUGGUUAUCAUGCCAAACAUCGAGUUGUCACGGGUAGCAUUAAUAAGCUGCUCUGAGUUGGACCAACACUCGUGAGUUGCACUGGCCUGGGGGAUUGAAUAAAUUAUCCACAGGGGUCGACGGGUCCGUGUGCAAGUCUAUUAGUUAUUAGUCAAAUGUAGUACGAAUGUUGGGCCUUGCCAGAAGAGUUUCAUCCCAAAUCGAAUGUCAAGGGGUUCCCCAUAACAACCCCAAGCAUGUUAGAAGCGCUCAAUUAUGGAACAUAAUACCGGUACACAAGUAACUAGGGUGGCAAACAUGGAACAAAACACCAGGCUCAAAGGCCAAGCCUUUCACCUUUUACCAAGUAUAUGGGUGCAUUAAAAUAAAUAGCAAUAAUAUAAUGAUAUAACAAGGAACCCAUGUUUUCACAUGGAAGCAACUGCACCUGCAACUAGCAACGCUAUAAGAAGGUUGAGCAAGCGGUAACAUAGCCAAACAGUGGUUUGCUGGGAUGUGGAGGGGUUACAGGCUUUUUCAUGGCAAUGUUGGGAGGCUUAACAUAACUAGUGGUAGGCAGCAAGACGUAGCGAUAGAAACGAGACAACUAUCAUGGUAAUGAUAGUAAUGAUAUCUAGGGAAAUGAGCAUCUUACAUGAGAUCCCGCUUGGAAGAAGAACGAAUCCGUGAUGUAGACGAACUGACGUAGUUGAACGAAUCCUCACACUUUGAAGCGGUUCAAAACUCUAUUGAAAGAAAUAAUUCAGAAAAAAACAAUCAACACACAAUAAAAACCAUAACAUAUGAAAGACAUGAUGCACAAGCACACAUGAUGCAUGUCUGGUUUAAUUAUGCGAGACAUGAUAAAGCACAACAAUCAACUCCUACACAUUUAGUGAAGCUCAAUAUGCAACGAGUUGCAUAUUGACGAAACUCCAUGUUCAAAUAUUUAGUUCACUCUCCUUUAGGUACAUGACAAUAUUAAAUGUUGUUAAACAUGGCAAGAGGUCAAGCAUUAAACUACACUAUUUAGGCAUUUUAAAUAAGGUCGGAAACACCAUAUAGCAUUUUCGGAAUGACCCCACAUGUUAAUUUCAACAUUGGUCCAGAUCUGAUCUAAUCACAUUAUAUAUAUAUAUUAAACAGGAAAAUAAAAUGGACCAUGUGAUUCUAUGCGUCAUUUUAGUCGAUAUACAUAUACAAAUCGUCUAAAAAGGAGCUACUGUUUAAAAGAUAUGACCAAAACAAGAUCAUAUGGCAUGAAUGCAAAUGUAUGCAAAUGACACCCACAAGCAUGUUAAAAACAUAUGUGAACUACAUUAAAUUCUAGGCUAGUUUAAAUGAGGCCAGAACAAUGAAUAACAAUUCUCGAAAGACCCCAUAUACAAAUUAAGGUUUUAGUACUGUUCUGCCUAUGACACAAUUUUAGAGUUGUUAAACAGCAAACUAAAUGACACCAUGUUAUUCUAGCAUUUUUUUGUCAAGUUACAUAUAUAAAACAUCUUAAACAGCGUUAUGGUUAUUUAAUUAUUAGCAUUUCAAUAUGUUACCUAUGCAUGAUUUGAUUAAAUGUUGAAUUCGCUGGGACAUAAAGAAACUACAUGGGCCAAAAGCACUGCACUAGGCAAGCCCAGUAUGAGAUGUGUGUGCGUGUAUGCAAAAAUAAUGAGAAACGUGGCAAAAUCGGGGUAACUAGGAAUCUAACCCAGGAUCUCUCUAUGUGGGCUAGGGUGGCUGACCAGCUGGGAUACAGCUUGAAUUGCGAAGACAAGAUGCAGUCUUAGCUAGAAGAAGCAUACCAUGUCGCUGGCUAAACAAAUAUGAAAUCAAAGAAAACAGACGACUCAUUCUGUUGCCGUGACUGGGGUUGCUGGUGCGAUGGCUCGAGUUAGCUGCCGGCGUGGGCACGAAAGAGAGGUGGUGCCGCGUGGCUUGGAGAUGGCGGCCGGAGGCGCGGGAACGGCAGGGCUUGAAGGCGGUUGGAGCUCCGGUGGCCAGGCGGUGGGGUCGAGGCUCCGAAAGCAGGCGCAUGAGUCACGACGGACUCGGGCGGCUGCCCGGAGGCUACUCGACGAAGCAGGGAUUAGGCGGAGGUCUUCGCGAGUUCUCCGGCCGGUGGAGUCCAACAAGGAGGCGACCUUGGUGCAGUGGCGGGGUUCCCUCGCACGACCAUGGUGGAAUGCUCCUGCGAAGGCGUCCAUGGUGUUUCUGCUGAUACAAAAAAAGAAAGAGGGAGAGUUUUGAGAGGGGGAAAGAAAUCAGGAAAGAAAGAGAAGAAGAGCGAGGAGUAGAGGGGCGGCCUGGCCUGGGGAGCUCCUUCGGCACGAGAUGCAUGGGCGCGAAGCAGGGGGAGGAUGAGCCGCUCAUACUCUCAUGCUCGAGCGCGCUCAGAGGAGAAAAUGGCCUCGCGCCAAACUACACUGAGCGUCACCUGUGGCUGGCUUCGGGCACGCAGGCGCGAGGAUCCGGGGGAGGCACACGCGUCCAUGAGCACAUAGCAGAGGUGCGGCUUUUUGUGGUUGGGCGACUACGGAAAACAAGGGGCGGUGGUUGGUGUUCUGUUUGAUGGAAUGGAUCGGGAGGGAUAGAGAGGAAGGAAACGUGGCUGGCGGCGGCUUAGAGGAUCCCU